rnacentral:rRNA from 1 species
UACAGAGGUCUCAAGCGUUGUUCGGAUUCAUUGGGCGUAAAGGGCGCGUAGGCGGCGCAACAAGUCACUUGUGAAAUCUCCGGGCUUAACCCGGAGCGGCCAAGUGAUACUGUCGUGCUAGAGUGCGGAAGGGGCUACUGGAAUUCUCGGUGUAGCGGUGAAAUGCGUAGAUAUCGGAGAGACACCUGCGGCGAAGGCGGGUAGCUGGGCCGACACUGACGCUGAAGCGCGAAAGCCAGGGGAGCGAACGGG